rnacentral:misc_RNA from 1 species
GAUGAAGAACGUAGCGAAAUGCGAUAAGUAAUGUGAAUUGCAGAAUUCAGUGAAUCAUCGAAUCUUUGAACGCACCUUGCACCCUUUGGCAUUCUGAAGGGUAUGCUCGUUUGAGUGUCAUUGUACUCUCACAAUCCCGAUCUUUGCAUUGGGAGCAGUGGACUUGGGUUUGCUGCUUCACCGUCGCUUACCUCAAAUAGGUUAGUGCAACUCUUGGUUGGACAUAGUACGGCGUGAUAAGUGUUCUUCGCCGGUGCCUCGCAAAGAGGGUGGCCGAUCGGGAUGUUGUGCUCCAAACCGUCUUCGGACAAUCUCUGACGACUUGACCUCAAAUCGAGUAAGACUACCCGCUGAACUUAAGCAUAUCAAUAAGCGGAGGA